GUAUCUGGUAUGCUUUCAUCCAAAUCGGGACAUCUGGAUGCAGUUGCUGACCUCUACUUCCAGUUCUUUUCAGUUUAAUCUCUGAAACGUCACUACGGUGACAUUCUAUGAUUAUACUUAUUUUUGGACCUCCGCCGGUGGCCGCUGAGCUUGCUCAUGUCAUUGACGACCGUGUCGCCAGUAUUGCACUGCCUCUGGCUGACGCGAACUACUU
rfam:Mycosphaerella graminicola IPO323 chromosome 5, whole genome shotgun sequence.